AGGCCCAGCGUGACCUUGAAAUCCCCUGCCCAAGAUGCGGGGAAUCUGAGGUAAAAUUACGAUCCCAGGCCACGAAUGCAGGCCUCCAAAAAGGGGAGACUGGCAAGGAACUGCAGGGGAGUGGCCGAGGAGCAGAUGGGGAGCUGCCAUCGACGUCCAAGCGUCAAUCCCAAGAUGGCGAAGGACAACCUCCCAAGAGACGCCGGCCGGAGAACGGAGGUGCGUCGGAGACGGACGAGGACGGGCGGACAGCGUUGCAUGAUGCAGCA